UGUCGCCCGCAAGGGCGCAUGGUGGAUGCCUUGGCAGACAGUACCGACGAAGGACGUUUGAGGAUGCGAUAAGCCUCGGGGAGCCUCCAGCAUGGCUUCGAUCCGAGGAUUUCCGAAUGGGGCAACCCGCCGGCCGUCAUGGGCCGGCACCGCAGGCUUCUGCGGGGGGUACGCAGGGAAGUGAAACAUCUCAGUACCUGCAGGAAGGGAUACUCCGUGAGUAGUGGCGAGCGAAAGCGGAUCAGACCAAACCGCGUGCGCGUGAUACCCGUCGGGGGUUGCGUGCGCGGUGUUGAGGGAGCGCGUGUCCCGGUUCCGACGGACCGGGCGGGAGUCAUAAAGCGGCUUGCCAGGGGAACAGGCUUGAAGGCCUGGCCGCAGAGGGUGCCAGCCCCGUACCUGGACGCUUGCCGUCUUCCGAUCGCGUGUCCCAAGUAGCGCGGGCCUCGUGGAAUCCCGCGUGAAUCCGCACCGACCGUGGUGUAAGUCUAAGCAUACCUGUCUGACCGAUAGCGUACCAGUACCGUGAGGGAAAGGUGAAAAGCACCCCGGGAGGGGAGUGAAAGAGUUCCUGAAACCGUGCGCCUACGAUCCGUCGGAGCCUCCUUGUGGGGUGACGGCGUGCCUAUCGAAAAAUGAGUCUGCGAGUCAGUGAUGCGUGGCGAGGCUAACCCGUCGUGGGGCAGCCGUAGCGAAGGCGAGUCCGAACAGGGCGUUCUGCAGUCGCGUGUCCUGGACCCGAAGCGGGAUGAUCUAGCCCUGGGCAGGUUGAAGCGCGGGUAAGACCGCGUGGAGGACCGAACCCACCUGGGUUGAAAACCGGGGGGAUGACCUGGGGCUAGGGGUGAAAGGCCAAUCAAAUUCCGUGAUAGCUGGUUCUCUCCGAAAUGCAUUUAGGUGCAGCGUCGGCUUAUUGCAUCGCGGGGGUAGAGCUACCGGAUGCUUGCGGGCCCUUGUGGGGUACCAACAGCAGCCGAACUCCGAAUACCGUUGAUGUGUAUGCCGGCAGUGAGUCGGCGGGGGAUAAGCUCCGUCGUCGAGAGGGAGACAGCCCAGACCGUCGUCCGAGGUCCCCAAGCGUGUGCUAAGUGGGAAAGGAUGUGGGGCCGCAUAGACAGCCAGGAGGUUGGCUCAGAAGCAGCCAUCCUUGAAAGAGUGCGUAACAGCUCACUGGUCUAGUGGUCCCGCGCCGACAAUGUAGCGGGGCUCAAGCACACCACCGAAGACGCGGCGGCAUGCCUUUGGCGUGCCGGGUAGGAGAGCGUCCUGCAAGGGGCGAAGCGGCCGGGUGACCGUGCCGUGGACUUUGCGGGAGUGAGAAUGCAGACAUGAGUAGCGAGAGACGGGUGAGGAUCCCGUCCGCCGGAUGACCAAGGGUUCCGGGGCCACGUUCGUCGUCCCCGGGUGAGUCGGGUCCUAAGGCGAGGCCGACAGGCGUAGUCGAAUGGAUGAACGGGUGGAUAUUCCCGUACCGGCAGCGAACCGACAGGACCGAGGCGGUGAGUACUAACCUCCGUCGCGGGCCGUUCCCCUCCUUCGGGUGGGGUCCGGCGCGUGGCGUUGGGAGCGUAGCCGUGGUAGGUGAGCGCAGGGGUGACACGGAAUGGGAGCCGGCCGCGGAGGUGGUUUUCCGUGGUCAAGCACGCAGCCAGUCAUGCAGGCAAAUCCGCAUGGCGCGUAUGGCGAGGUGCGAUGAUGGGAGCCGUUUCGGCUCGAUAUCCGGUGGUCCAGGCCGUCGAGAAAAGCCCCGGCGUCAGGCGCGUUGCCGCCCGUACCCCAAACCGACACUGGUGGUCAGGUAGAGAAUACCAAGGCGAUCGAGCGAAUCCUGGUCAAGGAACUCGGCAAACCGCUCCCGUGCCUUCGGCAUAAGGGAGACCCCCGCGGGUGAACGGACAUGCUCCGGGAGCGUGUGGGGGUGGCACAGACCAGGGGGUAGCGACUGUUUACCAAAAACACAGGUGCAUGCGAAGGCGUAAGCCGCUGUAUAUGCACUGACGCCUGCCCGGUGCCGGAAGGUUAAGAGGAUCCGUCAGCCCCCUUGGGGGUGAAGCGGUGAAUUCAAGCCCCGGUAAACGGCGGUGGUAACUAUAACCAUCCUAAGGUAGCGAAAUUCCUUGUCGGGUAAGUUCCGACCUGCACGAAUGG
rnacentral:rRNA from 1 species